rnacentral:lncRNA from 1 species
AUGGUCUUGUUCCCAGGCCUUCAUGUCCCCACUCCCAGGGCCUCCCCAGACCUUUUGGCCAUCGUGGCUCUAUUCUGGGUACCUCUGCUGUUCAGACCCCUCCUUGUCCAGGGAUCCUCCCCAGUCCCCUUGACCACCACCAUCCUGGGGACCUCCGGACUGCUCCACCUUUAUGGGGACUCCGAGCCCCCUUGGGCAUGGCCCCAUACCCGGGGGGUCUCCCCAGGGACCCCCUGCACAUCCUCCCCACCCCAGAGCCCCUCGGCACCCGCAGCCACCUCGGCCCCGCUCCGGGUCCCCCCCAGCUCCCCGCAGGCCGCUGUGCACUGCCCCCCACCCCCGCAGCUCUCCAUCUCCCCUUUCGCUCCCCCCGUUCCCGGCCCGGACCCAUUGUCCACCCGUUCCCGGCCCCAUCCCCAUCCCCGUCCCCUCCUCUCCGGCCCCGCUAAGGGGAGGAACCGGCCGGCCGGGGCCGUGCCCAGCCGCGCCCCUGCGCCGCCCCGUGCGCUCCGGCUCCGCCACCGGCACCGGCACCGGCUCCGCUCGCUCCCCACGCCGGGGCCGCCGGCCCGGCAUGAAGGUGCUCCGGCACAAGAUCGAGCUGCUGACAGGGCUGCUGCUGCAGGAGAUGACCAUGGCAGGGCUGCACGAGCUGCGCUUUACGGAGGAGAAGCCACUGCUGCGGGGCCAGGACACCGAGCUGGAGAACUCAGAAGUCUUCCUCUCUGCCGUGGACACAGACUGGAAGGUAGGACCGGCUGCAGGGAGGGGACAGGAGGUGCCUCAUGCCCCUGGGCUUGGGGACCCACAGGCCGGUGUGGUGGGUCAGUGCGGGGCACUGAGUGGGCCCUGGGGAUGGGUGGUGUUGGCUGCCCCGGCCCCAGCUUGCAGGUGGUGGCCGCUUGGUGUCCGUGCAUGGGGGCUGCGUGCCACGGCCCCUGUAGGGAGGGGACACGGCCACGGCUUUGCAGUCUGCCCGGCAGAGCCCCUGGGGAUGCUGGCUGCUGCCCUCAGCGCUGGCACUCAGAUGUGUCUGGUGGGCACUUGGCAACACUCCAGGGACAAAAGCUUUUUGAAAGAAGCAAAACCGAGCUGCUUCUCCAGCCCCUCUGCCAUUGCCAUGGCAAUGGUUCCCUGGGCGAUGCCAGCUCCCCAGUUGCAUGA